GACGAACGCUGGCGGCGUGCUUAACACAUGCAAGUCGAACGGAAAGUCCCUGCUUUUGUGGGCUGCUCUAGUGGCGAACGGGUAAGUAACACGUGAGUAACCUGCCCUUGACUUUGGGAUAACUUCAGAAAACUUGGGCUAAUACCGGAUAGGAGCUCCUGCUGCAUGGUGGGGGUUGGAAAGUUUCGGCGGUUGGGGAUGGACUCGCGGCUUAUCAGCUUGUUGGUGGGGUAGUGUCUUAGCAAGGCUUUGAGCGGUAGCCGGGCUGAGAGGGUGACCGGACACGUUGGGACGGAGAUGCGGCACAGCCUCGAAUGGUAGGCAGGGGUGGGGUAGAUUGUACUAUGGGAGGGAGCAUGAUGUAGUCACGCAGCGCGCGGUAAGAGGUCAAUCGGGUAGUAUAGCGAUUCUGCCUGUGCCGGAGUGUGAGUGACGGUAAUGGGUAAAGAAGCACCGGCUAACUACGUG
rnacentral:rRNA from 1 species